UACGUAGGGUGCAAGCGUUGUCCGGAAUUAUUGGGCGUAAAGAGCUCGUAGGUGGUUUGUCGCGUUGUCCGUGAAAACUCACAACUCAAUUGUGGGCGUGCGGGCGAUACGGGCAGACUGGAGUACUGCAGGGGAGACUGGAAUUCCUGGUGUAGCGGUGGAAUGCGCAGAUAUCAGGAGGAACACCGGUGGCGAAGGCGGGUCUCUGGGCCGAUACUGACGCUGAGGAGCGAAAGCGUGGGGAGCGAACAGG
rnacentral:rRNA from 1 species